rnacentral:rRNA from 1 species
GAUGAACGCUGGCGGCAUGCUUUACACAUGCAAGUCGGACGGGAAGUGGUGUUUCCAGUGGCGGCCGGGUGAGUAACGCGUAAGAACCUGCCCUUGGGAGGGGAACAACAGCUGGAAACGGCUGCUAAUACCCCGUAGGCUGAGGAGCGAAAGGAGGAAUCCGCCCAAGGAGGGGCUCGCGUCUGAUUAGCUAGUUGGUGAGGUAAUAGCUUACCAAGGCCGUGAUCAGUAGCUGGUCCGAGAGGAUGAUCAGCCACACUGGGACGGAGACAAGGCACAGACUCCUACGGGAGGCAGCAGUGGGGAAUUUUCCGCAAUGGGCGAAAGCCUGACGGAGCAAUGCCGCGUGGAGGUAAAAGGCCUACGGGUCAUGAACUUCUUUUCCUGGAGAAGAAAAAAUGACGGUAGCUGGGGAAUAAGCAUCGGCUAACUCUGUG